CACGUAGGGCGCAAGCGUUGUCCGGAAUUAUUGGGCGUAAAGAGCUCGUAGGCGGUCUGUUGCGUCCGCUGUGAAAACUCGGGGCUUAACCCCGAGCCUGCAGUGGAUACGGGCAGACUAGAGGUAGGUAGGGGGGAAUGGAAUUCCCGGUGUAGCGGUGAAAUGCGCAGAUAUCGGGAGGAACACCGGUGGCGAAGGCGGUUCUCUGGGCCUUACCUGACGCUGAGGAGCGAAAGCGUGGGGAGCGAACAGG
rnacentral:rRNA from 1 species